rnacentral:rRNA from 1 species
AUUGAACGCUGGCGGCAGGCCUAACACAUGGAAUUCGAGCGCGCGGCGGACGGGUGAGUAAUGUAUGGGGACUGCCCGAUAGAGGGGGAUAACUACUGGUAACGGUAGCUAAUACCGCAUACCAUCGGCUACCCCAUAUGGGAUUAGCUAGUAGGUGAGGUAAUGGCUCACCUAGGCUACGAUCCCUAGCUGGUGUGCGAGGAUGAUCAGCCACACUGGGACUGAGACACGGCCCAGACUCCUACGGAGGCAGCAGUGGGGAAUAUUGCACAAUGGGCGCAAGCCUGAUGCAGCCAUGCAGCGUGUAUGAAGAAGGCCCUAGGGUUGUAAAGUACUUUCAGUCGGGAGGCGUUACCGACAGAAGAAGCACCGGCUAACUCCGUGCCAGCAGCCGCGGUAAUUC